ensembl:snRNA U6 U6 spliceosomal RNA
GAUCAGUUACUAGAAUCAUAUUUUAAAGGUAUCAGACAGAGAAGAUUAGCAUGGAUCCUGCACAAGGAUGACACGCAAAUUAGUGAAGCGUUCCACAUUUUU